rnacentral:rRNA from 1 species
AGGACUAACGCUGGCGGCGUGCCUAACACAUGCAAGUCGAACGAGAGUAGCAAUACUCUAGUGGCAGACGGGUGAGUAACACGUGGUCAACCUACCUCUUAGUGGGGGAUAACUAGCCGAAAGGUUAGCUAAUACCGCAUUCGAUCUUCGAUCGGCAUCGAUUGAAGAUGAAAGGCGCAAGUCGCUAAGAGACGGGACCGCGUCCCAUUAGCUAGUUGGUAGGGUAAUGGCCUACCAAGGCGACGAUGGGUAGCUGGCUUGAGAGAGCGACCAGCCACACUGGGACUGAGACACGGCCCAGACUCCUACGGGAGGCAGCAGUGAGGAAUUUUCCGCAAUGGGCGAAAGCCUGACGGAGCGACGCCGCGUGUGGGAAGAAGGCCUUCGGGUCGUAAACCACUGUCGAAGGGGAGAUAUUGACGGUACCCUUGGAGGAAGCCCCGGCUAACUACGCGCCAGCAGCCGC